AAAGUCGUAACAAGGUAUCCGUAGGUGAACCUGCGGAUGGAUCAUUAAUGAGCAGGAGGAUUGAGACCGAUGUGGUUGAAAGAGGAAGAAGAAGGACCAUGAGUGUGCGGGAGAGAGAGAGAGAGACCCGCACUCGUCCAAUACUACAACACACUAGUCAUUGAAUCUUGUUCAUGUCAUAUUAUUCAUUCUAAUCCAAUACAACUGCUAGCAACGGAUCACUCGGCUCUC
rnacentral:misc_RNA from 1 species